CAGUAGCCGCGGUAAUACAGAGGGUGCGAGCGUUAAUCGGAUUUACUGGGCGUAAAGCGUGCGUAGGCGGCUUCUUAAGUCGGAUGUGAAAUCCCUGAGCUUAACUUAGGAAUUGCAUUCGAUACUGGGAAGCUAGAGUAUGGGAGAGGAUGGUAGAAUUCCAGGUGUAGCGGUGAAAUGCGUAGAGAUCUGGAGGAAUACCGAUGGCGAAGGCAUCCAUCUGGCCUAAUACUGACGCUGAGGUACGAAAGCAUGGGGAGCAAACAGGAUUAGAUACCCCCGUAGUCCCUGUCUCUUAUAC
rnacentral:rRNA from 1 species